rnacentral:rRNA from 1 species
UACGAAGGGGGCUAGCGUUGCUCGGAAUUACUGGGCGUAAAGGGCUCGUAGGCGGCCAACUAAGUCAGACGUGAAAUCCCCAGGCUCAACCUGGGAACUGCGUCUGAUACUGGAUGGCUUGAAUUCGGGAGAGGGAUGCAGAAUUCCAGGUGUAGCGGUGAAAUGCGUAGAUAUCUGGAGGAAUACCGGUGGCGAAGGCGGCAUCCUGGACCGACAUUGACGCUGAUGAGCGAAAGCGUGGGGAGCGAACAGG